GCUUGUAACAUCGGUUCUCGUAAGAUCGCCGAAGUUAAGCAACGUCGAGACUUUUCAAUACCUGGAUGGGUGACCGAUUAGGAAUACCAGGUGCUGUGA